rnacentral:rRNA from 1 species
AACGAACGCUGGCGGCAUGCUUAACACAUGCAAGUCGAACGAGAACUUCGUGUCUUUUUGCGCACGGCUGCGUACCGCCUGGUAACCUGCCCUUAGGUUAGGUAUAACUCCCCGUAAGGGGUGCUAAUACCAGUUGAUCUCAUCGGACCAAAGAUUUAUCGCCUCUGGAUGGGCGCGCGUUGGAUUAGCUAGUUGGUAGGGUAAAAGCCUACCAACGCGACGAUCCAUAGCUGGUCUGUGAGCAUGAUCAGCCAGGCUGGGACUGAGGCACGGACCAGACUCCGAGGGGAGGGAGCAGAGGGUAGUAUUGGAGGAGGGGCGAAAGUCUGAUCCAGCAAUGCCGCGUGAGUGAGGAAGGGCUUAGGGUUGUAAAGCUCUUUUACCCGGGAUGAUAAUGACAGUACCGGGAGAAUAAGCUCCGGCUAACUCCGUG